CCUACGGGUGGCAGCAGUAGGGAAUAUUGCACAAUGGGGGAAACCCUGAUGCAGCAACGCCGCGUGAGUGAUGACGGCUUUCGGAUUGUAAAGCUCUGUCGUCAGAGAAGAAAAUGACGGUACCUGAGUAAGAAGCCACGGCUAACUACGUGCCAGCAGCCGCGGUAAUACGUAGGGGGCAAGCGUUAUCCGGAUUUACUGGGUGUAAAGGGAGCGUAGACGGAAGUGCAAGUGUGAAGUGAAAGACUCGGGCUCAACCUGAGUACUGCAUUGGAAACUGGACGUCUAGAGUGCAGGAGAGGAGAGUGGAAUUCCUAGUGUAGCGGUGAAAUGCGUAGAGAUUAGGAGGAACACCAGUGGCGAAGGCGACUUUCUGGACUGUAACUGACGUUGAGGCUCGAAAGCGUGGGGAGCAAACAGGAUUAGAUACCCGUGUAGUC
rnacentral:rRNA from 1 species